rnacentral:rRNA from 1 species
CCUACGGGAGGCAGCAGUGGGGAAUAUUGGGCAAUGGAGGAAACUCUGACCCAGCGACGCCGCGUGCGGGAUGAAGGCCUUCGGGUUGUAAACCGCUUUCAGUAGGGAAGAAGCGAAAGUGACGGUACCUACAAAAGAAGCACCGGCUAACUAUGUGCCAGCAGCCGCGGUAAUACAUAGGGUGCAAGCGUUGUCCGGAAUUAUUGGGCGUAAAGAGCUCGUAGGUCGUUUGUUACGUCGGAUGUGAAAACCUGAGGCUCAACCUCAGGCCUGCAUUCGAUACGGGCAAACUAGAGUUUGGUAGGGGAGACUGGAAUUCCUGGUGUAGCGGUGGAAUGCGCAGAUAUCAGGAGGAACACCAAUGGCGAAGGCAGGUCUCUGGGCCAAUACUGACACUGAGGAGCGAAAGUCUGGGGAGCGAACAGGAUUAGAUACCCUGGUAGUCCAGACCGUAAACGGUGGGGCACUAGUUGUGGGAACCUUCCACGGUUUCUGCGACGCAGCUAACGCAUUAAGUGCCCCGCCUGGGGAGUACGAUCGCAAGAUUAAAACUCAAAGGAAUUGACGG